UGCAUGGCGAUGAUCCCCCUUGCACAGAAUCCGUUUGGUGGGAAAAGCACCUCUGAGUCAUGGAGUCGUGGAGUCCAGCCUCUGACUGAACACCACUGUGUCCAUAGGCCAUGGCACUGAGCACCGCGUCCAGCCUUUCCUUAAACACCUCCAGAGUCUGAAGUGAAGGUCAGUAAAGGAUAUGACACCAACGAGGCAGAAGGAUGAACCAGCAAAGGAAACAUCUAGGGAAAACUGAAUGAUUCACUGUGCAGUUGAACAGUUUAUGAAUGGAAAUUGGAAGGGGAAGCAGGAGCACAGAAGAAUCUCUCAGAUGAAAUGAUUGCAUAACUGUUGAACAGACAUUACAAUGUUGGUUUUAGGCUCUAAAGAGCCUCUCCCCACAAAGCAAAAUUAAUCCCUUAAGUGGGUAGGAAUGGAGGAAUGAACCUGAAAUAUAUUGGUUUAUUUCCCAUGGUAAGAAACAGCUCCACAAAUAAUUCCAUUUCCUUUCAU